rnacentral:rRNA from 1 species
UAGGGAAUCUUCGGCAAUGGGGGCAACCCUGACCGAGCAACGCCGCGUGAGUGAAGAAGGUUUUCGGAUCGUAAAGCUCUGUUGUAAGAGAAGAACGUGUGUGAGAGUGGAAAGUUCACACAGUGACGGUAACUUACCAGAAAGGGACGGCUAACUACGUGCCAGCAGCCGCGGUAAUACGUAGGUCCCGAGCGUUGUCCGGAUUUAUUGGGCGUAAAGCGAGCGCAGGCGGUUUAAUAAGUCUGAAGUUAAAGGCAGUGGCUUAACCAUUGUUCGCUUUGGAAACUGUUAAACUUGAGUGCAGAAGGGGGGAGUGGAAUUCCAUGUGUAGCGGUGAAAUGCGUAGAUAUAUGGAGGAACGCCGGUGGCGAAAGCGGCUCUCUGGUCUGUAACUGACGCUGAGGCUCGAAAGCGUGGGGAGCAAACAGG